rnacentral:lncRNA from 1 species
GAGCAACUGGUCUCUCUGUGUCUUCAGUCUCUCGCCUGACUCCUUCCCCGCGCUGGCUGCAGCACCUGGCAUGCACCCUAGACAAAGACUUUCAGAGAAUAAAGGUGUAUCCUGUGAGGCUACAACCCUGCAUGCCUGUCUCCCGUGGGCACACAAUGGGAUAAAAGGUCUGAAAUUGUCAGCUCCUCUCAUUUGAAAAGC